rfam:Myotis brandtii contig232310, whole genome shotgun sequence.
GACGGUUCUCAGGUGACGCACCCCAGAAUCGAGCUCCCUCCUCUUUGGUUCCAGGUGCGUCACCCGAGAACCGUA